rnacentral:lncRNA from 1 species
AGCGACCGUCACCCUGGUUAUUUCUUUCCCGCACUUAGUAGUUUUCUUAAUAAAUGGUUCAGUUAGAUGUUUGAAUGUGGUGAUUUCCGUUAUGCAUGAGAUUAUGGAUGUUUUAUUAUACAUGAGAUUGGAGUUUUCGAUCUGUGGUUUUGGUUCUGUGGAGAUUUGGUUUUCUUGUAGUCCUGCAUCGUGUUUUUCUACCCCUCGAGGUAGUCGGUUUUCAAAAUAAAGUUUCCGUGUGGGAAACAGUUUUAAAAAGGUUUUCGAAUGGCUUUUAUAAAUGAUUGAAUUAGAGUUUAAAAACAAAAGCUUCCAUGUGGGGAGCACUUUUAAAUAUGAUGUUUGUUGUAUUGUGCAUCGCAUCAUCCAGCGCCUAAGGAGUGCUUAGAGGCAUGCAUCAUUCUAAGGAUUGUUAGCUGUAUGGAAAUGUGUGACGCCCCAACUUCCCAGGGGGUCACCCAUCCUAGGACUACUCCCGUCCUAGCACGCUUAACUCUCUUAACCUCUUGGGUCUUGCCACCACCCAAAAUGCUUAAGCCGGGUUAAGAGUUUAGCCCUAUUAUAUCUUAUAUAUAGGACUAUCUGGGGUCUCACAAUCUCCCCUCCUUUAAGCCCUGACGUCCUCGUCAGGCUCAGACUCACAAGUACCAGGCGAUGUGAGACUCAUCUCGCUAGCCCGUCAUCCAGACCCUGGCUCAGCCGAGACUCAUCUCACAUUUCCGGCUGGUAAUUGGCUCUGAUACCAUCUGUGACGCCCCGACUUCCCAGGGGUCACCCAUCCUAGGACUACUCCCGUCCUAGCACGCUUAACUCUCUUAACCUCUUAGGUCUAGCCACCACCCAAAAUGCUUAAGCCGGGUUAAGAGUUUAGUCCUAUUAUAUCUCAUAUAUAGGACUAUCUGGGGUCUCACAAUCUCCCCUCCUUUAAGGUCCUGACGUCCUCGUCAGUCCAAUCACACACAGCCCAAGAUCACCAGGCUAUGUGAGACUCGUCUCGCUAGCCCGUCAUCCAGACCCUGGCUCAGCCGAGACUCAUCUCACACUUCCGGCUGGUAAUUGGCUCUGAUACCAUCUGUGACGCCCCAACUUCCCAGGGGGUCACCCAUCCUAGGACUACUCCCGUCCUAGCACGCUUAACUCUCUUAACCUCUUAGGUCUAGCCACCACCCAAAAUGCUUAAGCCGGGUUAAGAGUUUAGUCCUAUUAUAUCUCAUAUAUAGGACUAUCUGGGGUCUCACAAUCUCCCCUCCUUUAAGGUCCUGACGUCCUCGUCAGUCCAAUCACACACAGCCCAAGAUCACCAGGCUAUGUGAGACUCGUCUCGCUAGCCCGUCAUCCAGACCCUGGCUCAACCGAGACUAGCCACACAUGUCCAGCUGGUGAACCGGCUCUGAUACCAAAUGUAACGACCCAGCCCACUAGCAAUAAUAACUCGUUGGGCCCAGUCAACAGCCCAAAAUGCUUAAGCCCAGUUAUUAUUACUAGUGUCUAAGUCUCUUAUAAACCCAAUGACAACCCCUUUCCCAUCCGAUGUGAGACUAUUGGGAUGUCACAGACUCCCCCCGUUAAGGCCCUGACGUCUUCGUCAGUCC